AUGCUCCAGUUCGGCCGCCGUCUCGCGUACCACGGCCUCCGCCGCACCCUCGUCGUCACCCGGUAUGUGCUCUCCACCACCUCGCCCCCUGGCGCGCCGUUCCGCGUGGCCGCCAUCUCGGACGGCUUCAAUGCUGGUGGCAUGGCGUCGUGCCCCGACUACACGGAGUACUUCCCGCGACUGGAGGCCCUCGGGUCCGAGACGCUGCGGGAGCUCCUCCUGUCCGAGGCGCGCGCUGGGCGGCCAGUGCGCGUGCUGGUUUAUGACCCUCAUCUUGCGUGGGCGCUGCGGGUGGCGUGGACGGCCGGCGUGGCCACCGCGGCCUUCUUCUCGCAGCCAUGUGCAGUGGACGUCGUGUAUGGGGAGCUCUGGGCGGGGCGGCUGGCGCUGCAGGCGACGGACGCGUGCGCACUGCUCGUGAGAGGAGCGCUGGGCGUGGAGUUUGGGCCGGAGGACAUGCCGCCGUUCGCGGCCGCGCCGGAGUCGCAGCCGGUGCUCGCAAAGACGUCGAUUGGGCAAUUCGAUGGGAUGGACGUUACCGACAACGUGCUCGUCAACUCUUUCCACCACAUCGAGCCAAAGGAGGCAGAUUACAUGGAGUUAACAUGGAGAGCGAAGAUGAUAGGUCCAACUUUGCCAUCAUACUACCUUGAUGCUAAUCGCCUACCAUCCAACAAGUCUUAUGGUUUUAAUUUGUUCAGUGAGGGUGCAUCGUGUAUGGAUUGGUUAGACAAGCAUAGCAUUUCCUCCGUUGUACUUGUAUCCUAUGGUACUGUCUCUAACUACGAUGCAACCCAGUUGGAGGAGCUUGGCAGUGGACUAUGCAAUUCUGGCAAACCUUUUGUUUGGGUUGUCAGAUCCAAUGAGGCACACAAGUUAUCUCAAGAACUCAAGGAGAAAUGUGAGAACAAUGGAUUAAUUGUUGCGUGGUGCCCCCAACUAGAAGUUUUGUCACACAAGGCUAUCGGUUUUUUUGUUACCCACUGCAGAUGGAACUCGACAUUGGAGGCAAUUGUUAGCGGUGUUCCUCUUGUGGGAAUCCCGCAUUGGGCUGACCAACCCACCAUCUCAAAGUAUGUGGAGACUGAGUGGGGCAUGGGCGUGCGAGUGCGGAAGGGCGAUAAAGGAUGGCUAAAGAGGAUGGAGGUCAAGAGGUGCAUUAGAGAGGUGAUGGACGGAGAUAGAAAGGAUGAGUACAAAAGAAAUGCUGCAAAGUGGAUGCAAAAGGCCAAGGAUGCAAUGUAA
rnacentral:rRNA from 1 species